AGUGCAUCGAAUACAGCGCAAGCGUCAAGAAUGUCUGAAGUGAAAGCUCCUAAAAAAAUUUUUCGACACGUUCUUAAAGGUUUACAAUUUUUUCACAUCGUGGACGGAAUUGGAUGUAAUAAAAAUGAAUUAGUUUCUUUUGUUUUUCUGAAGAAUGAACGCGCAUUUCAACCUAUGGUCGUACAAAAAUGGGUCCAAGAAAUUCUAGAUACGUUUGAAAGGUGUAGACUACUGCAGAAGGAUCCAUUUGGGAACUAUCUUCUACAUGAUGCUCUUUUAAGCGGUCCUUUUCAUCAUGAAGAACAUUUUCUGCUUGAUCCUAAUCGAAAUCAGAAUAACAAUGAAAAUUGUUCGAGCCAGGAGAGCUUAUCAAUGGUUCCCCAUUAUCGUCGCGUUUUAAACCGUAAAGGUACUCACUACAUGCUACCAAAACAUAGAAUUCACAGCAAAUCCAAAUCACUGCAAAAACACAUUGAAUAUGAAGAGAAGCGGAAAUAAAUAACAUUUGUGGAAAUCGUCUUUCAAAUCGUCUUCAAGAA